UACGUAGGGACCAAGCGUUGUUCGGAUUUACUGGGCGUAAAGGGCGCGUAGGCGGCGUGGUAAGUCACUUGUGAAAUCUCUGAGCUUAACUCAGAACGGUCAAGUGAUACUGCUGUGCUAGAGUGCGGAAGGGGCAAUCGGAAUUCUUGGUGUAGCGGUGAAAUGCGUAGAUAUCUGGAGGAACACCGGUGGCGAAGGCGGCUACCUGGCCCAACAUUGACACUGAGACCCGAAAGCAUGGGGAUCAAACAGG
rnacentral:rRNA from 1 species